rnacentral:rRNA from 1 species
CGCAUCUGUGCAUGCAGCAUAUCAAUAAGCGGAGGAAAAGAAACUAACAAGGAUUCCCCUAGUAACGGCGAGUGAAGCGGGAAGAGCUCAAAUUUGAAAUCUUAAAGGGUUUCCCUUUACGAAUUGUAGUUUAAAGAAGUGUUUUCUGUUGAGGUUUUGGUAAAAGUUCUUUGGAAUAGGACAUCAUAGAGGGUGAGAGUCCCGUAUUUGACCUUUACUUUCAACUUUGUGAUACACUUUCAAAGAGUCGGAUUGUUUGGGAAUGCAGUCCAAAAUGGGUGGUAAAUUUCAUCUAAAGCUAAGUAUUGGCGAGAGACCGAUAGCGAACAAGUACCGUGAGGGAAAGAUGAAAAGAACUUCGAAAAGAGAGUUAAACAGUACGUGAAAUUGUCAAAAGGGAAGCGUUUGACACCAGUGUUGUUUUUCUGAAAAUCAAUUAAAGAACUGUUUAUGCUAAGUUGUUUAGACUUUAUCAGCUAACUGUUUAGUUUUGAGCUUUUCUUUAAUGCACUUUUCAGUUAACAAGUCAACAUCAAUUUCUUUUGCUGUAAAAAAGCUUGAGGAAGGUGGCUUGAGAUUCGUCUUAAGUGUUUAUAGCCUCUUGCCUAUGCAGUCGGAGAGAUUGAGGUCUGCAGCGUAGAUCCUUCGGGGCUAAAUGCAUUUGUGCUAAGUUAUAGCAUUUUAUAGACAACUUGUUGACUAUGAUUUGUCUUGUAGCUUACUCGCUUAUGUUAUUUUACCUACGCUUAGGAUGUUGAACGCGCACAGAGUCUC